rnacentral:rRNA from 1 species
GACGAACGCUGGCGGCGUGCCUAAUACAUGCAAGUUGAGCGAUGAAGCUUGGUGCUUGCACCAAUUUGCAGAGCAGCGCACGGGUGAGUAACGCGUGGGAAAUCUGCCUUUGAGCGGGGGACAACAUUUGGAAACGAAUGCUAAUACCGCAUAACAACUUUAAACAUAAGUUUUAAGUUUGAAAGAUGCAAUUGCAUCACUCAAAGAUGAUCCCGCGUUGUAUUAGCUAGUUGGUGAGGUAAAGGCUCACCAAGGCGAUGAUACAUAGCCGACCUGAGAGGGUGAUCGGCCACAUUGGGACUGAGACACGGCCCAAACUCCUACGGGAGGCAGCAGUAGGGAAUCUUCGGCAAUGGACGAAAGUCUGACCGAGCAACGCCGCGUGAGUGAAGAAGGUUGUCGGAUCGUAAAACUCUGUUGGUAGAGAAGAACGUUGGUGAGAGUGGAAAGCUCAUCAAGUGACGGUAACUACCCAGAAAGGGACGGCUAACUACGUG